rnacentral:lncRNA from 1 species
AUUUCAUAAGUUUUUUGUUGUAAAAUAUUUGAUGAUUUCAUGAAAAAAAAAAAAAAAAAAAAAAAAAAAAAAAAAAAAAAAAAAAAAAAAAAAAAAAAAAAAAAAAAAAAAAAAAAAAAAAAAAAAAAAAAAAAAAUUAGGACUCAUAUCGAGGCUUCUAAAGCCCACAUCUGAUAUGAUUUAACAUUACCUAUGUGAAGAAUUACUAAGCAGAAACAUUUUGAAAGCCUCAUGACCUGAAUGGUAUUAAAUACUUAACAAUUGAAUUUGUCUCAAUAAUAAUUAUGUUUAAACUGCUCCUCAUAGGCUAAGGAUAAACUUGAAGGCAAAGAGUAGAUUUUGGCCAGCUCUCCAGAGCUGGCAGGCAGAAAAGAGUAAGAUUGUUGAUCCACGAUACUGCGGCCGCCCCUCCUCCUAUGGGCUCCUUUCAGGGAGAUCAGAGUUCUGUUCAUAAACCCCUGGCUGGGGAUGCUGAAAAUCCCACAGGGAGACCCCACACAGGUAGGAGGAAUGGGUCAAGGUCCUGCUUAAAGAAGC